UACGAAGGGGGCUAGCGUUGCUCGGAAUCACUGGGCGUAAAGCGCACGUAGGCGGCUUGUUAAGUCAGGGGUGAAAUCCUGGAGCUCAACUCCAGAACUGCCUUUGAUACUGAAGGUCUUGAGUUCGGGAGAGGUGAGUGGAACUGCGAGUGUAGAGGUGAAAUUCGUAGAUAUUCGCAAGAACACCAGUGGCGAAGGCGGCUCACUGGCCCGAUACUGACGCUGAGGCACGAAAGCGUGGGGAGCAAACAGG
rnacentral:rRNA from 1 species